rnacentral:misc_RNA from 1 species
GGACGUUAUGAUGAGAAUAUGUUACCAGAGGUUAACGUUUCUCAGUGGCGCAAAGGAUCACAAUGGUUUGAAAUGAGUAGGAAGCUUGCCCUUUUCAUAGUCGAAGACACAAUAUUCUACCCCAAGUUUGCUGAGUUUUGCAGGCCAGCAUGUUACGUAGACGAGCACUACUUCCCAACAAUGCUGACUAUUGAAGCAUCAAAUCUCUUGGCAAACAGAAGUAUAACAUGGGUUGACUGGUCGAGGGGCGGAGCUCACCCUGCCACUUUUGGAAAAUCAGAUAUCACAGAAGAGUUUAUGAAGAGGAUGCUGCAAGGACAAAACUGUACGUACAACAACCGAAACACAUCAAUCUGCUAUCUGUUUGCAAGGAAGUUUGCUCCAAGUGCUUUGGAACCUCUGUUUCUGCUAGCCCCAAAAUACUUAGGUUUCUAGAUUAUAAAAAUCUAAUAUUUGGAUUAUACCGAGUAUUUUCUUCUUGUUGUAGUCCCCGGUAGGU